GCAGCAGAACGUUCUAUCGCUGUUAGUAAAAUAACAGAGGAAAGUCCGGACAACAAAGGGUGCCGUACUGUUGAAAUAACAGAUAUUUGUGAAGAUAUAGUAGAGCAGAAGAAAAAAACCGCAUUAAUUAUAAGUUUACUUAUGAGAAAUGUAAGGGUGAGAAGGUGGAGUAAGAGCCCACCAGCAUGUAUGGCAACAUAUAUGGCUGUGUUCCUAACGGGUUGCAAGACCAUGUAUACCAACGCUUGAGGGCUACCCGCUCGAUUGUUGGAGGGUAGGUCGCAUAGAUAAAUGAUAGAUACUUCAGGAGAUGAAGUACAGAAUCCGGCUUAUAGGUCUGCUGCUUUU
rnacentral:RNase_P_RNA from 1 species